UACGGAGGGAGCUAGCGUUGUUCGGAAUUACUGGGCGUAAAGCGCACGUAGGCGGCUUUGUAAGUUAGAGGUGAAAGCCCGGGGCUCAACUCCGGAACUGCCUUUAAGACUGCAUCGCUUGAAUCCGGGAGAGGUGAGUGGAAUUCCGAGUGUAGAGGUGAAAUUCGUAGAUAUUCGGAAGAACACCAGUGGCGAAGGCGGCUCACUGGACCGGGCAUUGACGCCUGAGGCGCGAAAGCGUGGGUAGCAAACAGG
rnacentral:rRNA from 1 species